CUGUGGUCUGUGUUCUGAACUUUCAUGGUGCCUGCAGGGAUGUAAGCAAAAGUAAAUGAGGGGCUGGUGCCAACUGAGGACUCUUAAAGAAUCACAACCUCCAAAAAAGCCUUUUCCUUUUUUUUUUCUUAUUGCUAUUGCUGUGAGUAUUAGAAUUUUAUUUGACUUUUUAA